rnacentral:rRNA from 1 species
GGGCCCGCACAAGCAGCGGAGCAUGUGGUUUAAUUCGAAGCAACGCGAAGAACCUUACCAGGUCUUGACAUCCAUUAAAAACCCAGGAGACUGGGUGUGAGCUUGCUCGUAAUGAGACAGGUGGUGCAUGGUUGUCGUCAGCUCGUGUCGUGAGAUGUUGGGUUAAGUCCCGCAACGAGCGCAACCCUUGCGAUUGGUUGCUAACAGGUGAAGCUGAGAACUCCAAUAGGACUGCCGGGGACAACUCGGAGGAAGGUGGGGACGACGUCAAAUCAUCAUGCCCCUUAUGACCUGGGCUACACACGUGCUACAAUGGCCAUUACAGAGAGAUACGAAGUCGUAAGGCGGAGUGGAUCUGCGAAAAGUGGUCUCAGUUCGGAUUGAGGGCUGCAACCCGCCUCAUGAAGUCGGAGUUGCUAGUAAUCGCGAAUCAGCAUGUCG